UACGGAGGGCGCAAGCGUUGUCCGGAAUCACUGGGAGUAAAGCGCGUGUAGGCGGCUGGACAAGUCGGAUGUGAAAUCCCGAGGCUCAACUUCGGAACUGCAUUUGAAACUGUCCGGCUGGAGACCCGGUGAGGUUGGCGGAAUUCCCCGUGUAGGGGUGAAAUCCGUAGAUAUCCUGAGGAACACCAGUGGCGAAGGCGGCUGUCUGGGCGGUGUCUGACGCUGAGACACGAAAGCGUGGGGAUCAAACAGG
rnacentral:rRNA from 1 species